UACGUAGGGGGCAAGCGUUGUCCGGAUUUAUUGGGCGUAAAGAGCUCGUAGGCGGUUUGUCGCGUCUGCUGUGAAAACCCGAGGCUCAACCUCGGGCCUGCAGUGGGUACGGGCAGACUAGAGUGCGGUAGGGGAGAACGGAAUUCCCGGUGUAGCGGUGAAAUGCGCAGAUAUCGGAGGAAGACACCGGUGGCCGAAGGCGGUCUCUGGGCCGUGACUGACGUGCCGCUGAGGAGCGAAAGCUGGGGAGCGAACAGGAUUAGAACC
rnacentral:rRNA from 1 species